GGGGUUGUGGCUCAGUAGUAGAGCACUCACCUAGCAUGUGGGAGGCCCUGGGUUCAAUCCUCAGCACCACA
rnacentral:tRNA from 1 species